CAACGCACGAGUAUAUACCUAGUAAAUGUUGAGUAUAUACCUAGUAAAUGUUUGAGGUGAACACGAUGAUAGGAAUAGAGACAGGUUCAAGGUUCUCGAUAUAUGCCACUGCAUAUCGACCAGGAACUAUAUACUGGGAACACGUAUGUCAAUUAACUGCUGUUACCAUAGUCCCCAGAGCAAUUUUUGACUAGCCCUUAUCGGAUUUUUCAAAAGUCGCAUAAAAUAUGUUAUCUCAUUGCCGAGUUUGUUUAGUCCACCUAGUUUUCUUAGCACAUAUCCAGUUCUCUUAGCGUGUGGAUUGUGCGUAGACACUUUGCUUGCAUCAUCAUCGAUCUGCAUGCAAAUAAUGGCUUGUAAAUCAGAUGUGUACGUAUGUGGCAGAUCCAUUGGGUAGCCAUCAGUGCUCCAGUCCCCAGUUCAUGUGUGUACAUAGAGAAGAUAGAAAUGAAAUGGAUAUAAUAAACUAUGUGUGUAUAGAUCGAGUAAACAUGUUCAGGCCACAUGCUAUUAGUUUUCUCUUGAACUUGCUGUGGACAGGAUAGCGACACACUGCACCGUCAUAAAGAACAUGUACCCUACUUGCACUAGUACAGAUAAGCUCUACAAUGGUGGUCGUAAACCUAUUUACAGUGGCGUUUUUUGUAACCGCUAGUGCUAGGGAUCAGUAGAAACCGCAAUUGUUCAGUUCUUCUAAUGCGGUUUGACUAGCAUCAAUGGUCACGCGUAGUAUAGAUUACAAUAAUAGUUGAAGCAACUACUAGUACGAACUUAGUAGUGGUAAGUACUGUGGACAGGAUCGGAUCUCUAGAGGGCAUAUAUAUAAUAUAUUCAUUUGAGCCAUCCACAAGUGGGUUACUAGUUAAUUCACACAUAUAUAGUAAAGUUUAUAUUUUAGCCUUAGACGAAGACAAUGACUAGAAGGCUAGUGUGGGUUUAUCUAGGUUUUCGUUUGCACUUAAUACUAUGACUCAUCACCAUAUUUGAUAACUUAACAAGUUAAUUACGAAGAAAUACACAGAGUUUUGUUUGAACAGAACUUCAUGUUAAAUUUACUGUCGGGGAUAAAAUCUUGGGUCCCUGUGGCCCAUCGAUUAGAAAGGACGCUAACAAGAGGCCUCUGGCAACCAUAGGGCUGACAAUGGGCUAUAAAUUUUGCACUAUAAAAUUUAAGAAUCGAAUCGGGUUUGGAUCAGGCUCUAUUUCUAGUCAUUUUCGAACUAUAAUUUAUUUAAGGCCUUGACAUUUUGUGAAGAACCAUAUGGAUCACAAUCCAUUACCACCCCUAGGCAACCAGGGCCCAUCGGUCAACAAGAGUAGGAAGGAAACGUCUGCCCUGAAAGUACCUGUCCCAGGGCGAACCCCAAGGCACCGAGCCCAAGGUCAGGCGUGCGUGAGCCGGGCAAGCCGAAGAGAAACCACUCGAGUUGAUCCCUCAUCCAGCCCGAGACUGACCCGUCAUAAGCGACCAGGGCAUCGGUCUGCCUCCCACUCAUGACCUACAAACACUUGGGCUACAACGCACUCAUGACCAACGAACCCCUCGGACUGCUACACAUUAAUGGCCCGCGCGCCCCUAGCCUGGGGCGCACUCAUGCCCUAACAGGGCUAGGCUUGAGUAUGCGGGCCGCCUGCAGGGCACAACGAUACAAGUCGCGCCAAGACCAAGGCUACGAAGGCCAGGGGUCGACGUAGCUCAAAUAAUGGUAUCCGGGCCCCAUGCUGCUCGCACCAUCUGGCAUAAAGAAUACGAGACGACCAGUCGACCUAGACGCUCAUGGACGAACACGACUUCACAAGGUUAAGAUGCUCGGUUUUACUAUCACCCAGUGACUCCUUCACGAGGAAGCCACCGAUGGUCGACCCCCUCCUUGGCCUAUAAAAGAAAAAGGUUGGCCACCAGACAAACAGAUGUACCGGCGAGAGGAUGAACCAACGAAAGGAGGAAGGAUGCAUCAACGAAGACCCGGAGACCGAAGCCCCGCUGCAAAGCCAAGGCCUAGUUAGAACUCUAGCUCUGUAGCCCUUAGCUCCACCUCCUCCGCGCAAGAGACUUGCGAGCUUCUCCUCCCUCUCUCGACCACUUGUAACCCCUACUACGAGCAUUGGUCAACAAAGGUGUCGGUAGCACGAGCCACUGAAGACUCUUUCCUUAGAGCUGGAUGCAGGACAGCAACAGGAAAACGCUAAUCAUAACCAAGCAACAGCGGGUGUCCCGCACGUUCAAUCAAACAUAGCCCGAUGGCAAACAACUUUUCAGUUUUAGGUUUGCUUAAAGAAAGGGGCACUAUCAAAGCGUUGGUGGGCGUGGGUGUUCACAAAGUGGAAUAAGGUGCCAAGAGAAAGAAAGGCCUCCUUUCCGUAACCAUUACAAAGGUGUGGGUCCUCCUUGACUUCCCCCGAUUGGAGUGCUGCCGAGCAAGGCGGCUCCUAGCUUCUGAGCAAAACGCUCUACGGCCUUCACCAUUCCAGCAAGAUUCGUAUCACUCCAAGCGUCACAGUAGCCUUCGCUGAGGUUCUCUAGCUUGAUCCCUCGUUCAAAGUGAGAUGUAGCGACGGCGAAGGCCUAGUAGAUCCCCUGGCAGAAAGAUUUUGCCUUGAGUUCCUAGAACCGGCCCACAAAGCCCUUGAGGCAGAAGACCAGUGACUCAGACCCAAGGGAAGAAGGUGCUCUGAAGCGCCUGCUCAUGGCGCCCACACCCUCCGACAGGAAGCGCCUCUCCUUCUCCAGCUUCUCCACGCGACGUUGCAUCUCGACAAAGUUCCCUUUGGCGACAUCGAAUUUCUAUCAUAUGGCUGACAAGGGGAGGAUAUGAGUCGUAAGAAGGGGAAAGCGGGCAAUGAAUUCCUAUUUUUCGGAAGAUUCCGUCAAAGGCCCUAACUUGCAAAGAGGCCAUGAGCUUCUCCUCCUUUUUGUUCGACCACCCAACACCCCUCCAAGGCUGUGACUUGAGCCUCAUCAACCUCUUUUCCUUGCUAUAGGAUACGAAGGCGGGAGCUUGCCUUCACACUCUCAAGACCUGUGAGGGUCACCGAUUCCGCAUCCCUCCAUGUCGUCUCAACCAGGGCAUCGUAAGCAUCUUGGAUCGACGCGGCGCGGGCAUGAGCUUCGGUGGCCUCACCCUUCGCCGCUACAAAAUCACCGAUGGAACACUCCCACGCCUCCCUUUAUUCAAGAAGAAAGCGGGAUCUACUCACUAGUGUCCUUGUGAGCGACUGACACGAAACUAGAAAAUGGAUCGUUAGUAAGGGGAGCAUUUUCCUCAACAAGCCAUCCGCGCUUACCGCCAACUUCUGGCGUGCGGCCGAGAGCUGACCGAGGUUGGCCAGUAACGCCUUCUUGGUCAUGUCGCUUUCCUCAUCCAGCUCCCUACACAGGGCCUAGGGGUCGUCACCUUUCGCGAAAUUGUCCAGAACAGACUGAACGCUCAAUUGGCCGCCAAGGCACGACAACAUGAUAUGAGGCUCCCCGUAGGCAGGGAUAGAUGUUGUCCCCUCCAAUGCUACGGCCUCUAUAAAAACGAGACCCACACCCCCUCCAGCAGGGGAUGCAAAGGGAGGAUUGUAGCCACGCUAAACAAGAAGGGCAGUCGGGGAAAUGUGGCCCACGCGCCAAUGAGGGCAGCGUCCAAACCCACUGUAAAAAGAAAAAAGGAUAAAGGGGUGAACCUCAGCCUCUCCCACCGAGCUCGCGUCGGGACCGUUCAGGAGCAUCAGGAGAGACGAACAUGAUACACCGACCCCAGCGGCGUUUGGCGGAGAUGUCGGCAAAGAGGAACCUGAUGAUGCGACCACACUGACGUCCGCGUCGAUGGCAGUCAUCACUCUCCUCUUCUUGGAGACCACUUUCCUCGUGUGCGACAUAAGGGAAAUAGGAUGAAGGAUGCUGCUUGAGAAAAGAAAAGGAGAGAGUUAGGAGCAGCGGCGAAAAAGGAGGCGGACGAUGGUGUCGGUGUCGAGUACCGGCAACACAUUAUAGGGAGUACUGUGUAGCAGUUUUGGGAGGAUGGAAAUGUCGGUCACAGCUCGAUGGUACGUGCAGAGCACGUCAGGGACAUGGAAGAUUAUGCAGGUUCGGGCCGCUCGUGAGCGUAGUUCUCUAUAUCAUGUGGUUUCUGGCUAUGGAAUUGUUUGGUGUCUCUCCUUGUUACCAGUUAUCUCUCGAGAUUAAAGACGAAUGAGGUGUUGUGCCUCAUUUUUGUAGGGGCCUCCUAUUUAGCCUUAUUGUUGACUAAAUCGGAGUUACAGAAAACAUCUUGGGUGCACGAUCUCCAUGUUCUGCCUUGCUCGUGCCACGUUGUGUCCAGCCAUGGUCAACAAGUCGUCCGUGGACUUUCGCGCGUCUCGCAUGCAUAAGAAAUGACCGAGUUCCUUCAUGCCCACGCCUGUGUCUUCUCAAGACGUCUACGGUUCUCACCCAAAUGAGGCCUGCUGGCCACCUUUCAGGUGACCAAUCAGGAGCAUUUUGGGUGGCCUAAUGGGACGUAAUUGGGCCGUGGUGAUCCAGGGGAUACCUAUCCCCCUUAGAUAGGGACCAGCAAGGCCCAUCACCCGCUGGCCGCACCCCAACGAACCUUUGUACUCUGAGUAGCGCCUCGCCCCAUGGCACCUAGGCAGAGUGUCGGUCCUAUCACCCACUCUCGAGGCAGGCAUGAGCGUCCCUAGCUAGAGGUGUGUUAGGAAGGACCUCGGAUAAGUGCGAGAUGGAGGAGCUCCUCACGCAAGCUUCCCUCGGUGGCUGAUUGGAUGAAGGAUCGACAAAUGGAGGGGCAAGCACCACUGGGUUCAUCGGCCUAGGAAAAUGGUGGGGAGGUCUGGGAAGUCGGCCUCCUCCACGGCAAGAAAAGUACUCACUGUGUUGCUAGAAAAGGCCAUGGCAAAGCCAACCGUUAACGCGUCAAGGGAGGCAUCAGGAAUGGCCCAAAGCUUGGAGCCCACGCUCACGUCAUCAUCAUCCCCAUCCUCAUCAGUUGAGUUGAUCUCGACGCCACGGUACCUGCGCAUCUGGCGCUUAGCCCUUCGGUGUCUCUUAUUCACCCUGGUUCUUAUGCCUCCAUUGCUACUCUACCCCGUGUGCGAGUCGCCUCCUUCUCCAACACGCUUCUUAGCAAAAGGAACUGGGUCAUCCUGUAGCACCAUAGAAGAAGGCUGGAAGAGGAGAGAAGGAUCAGAGGGCGUGAAACUGGUACCAAAAAAGAGAGAGAGAAAAGGGAACCAGACAAACUCACAAAUUCCACGAAUCCUGGCUUGGGACACAUCAUGAGGCAAUCGGGGAUCGGUAAAACGUAUGGGAUGACAGCCUCGUUCGCACCUUUGCGAACCUCCAUGGCUUCCGUGAGCCAGUGAGAGAUAUCUACAUUGCUAUGGGGUAGGACGCUUAGCCACGUACCCUUCGACACGACAUCAGCGCUCAUCCUUUA
rnacentral:lncRNA from 1 species